GCCACUGUGCCAGCAAAAAUGCAUUCCAUCCGAGAGUCGGUUUAAUAAUCUUUAACGCGAUGCUCAUAUCUCAAAUGCGAAUGUAAAGGUAUGGCGGGAUGUACAACUAGUAGUCGGAUUCGCAAUGUAGUGCACUAUUGGGUGAAGUGUUUAUGAAGAGUGGAGAAUACGAAAAAUAAACCGCUAUUCAAGCCGCUUCAUUUCAUCUUCGUUGCAUUUUUGCAGCGGAUUGGUACAGCUGACCGACACAAGGGCACAGAUUGGAGAGGCACGCUGUGCUUAUGCCCACACACCGCUGCAGUGGCGCCGCUUGACCACCGGAGGACAGCGCGGGACCGAAACCAUCUCAGCCGAGCUCUCUGGCCAGGCAGCACGGACUACAGUUCAUCUCACGGAUUGGGAAACCGGAAAUCUAUUUCAAUCUGAAGGAUCAUGCAGACUGUGAUAACAGCCCAGUUCUGGACUGCAUGUUAUAGGGGUGAAAACAUAGGCGCUCCCCUUUCCCCCACCACGGGUGACAUGGCCGGUUCGUGGUUGCUAUGGUGACAGCGAUGGGUUUUAGUAUUUGCAGCGGUUGUGACGGCGGGUGUGUGCGAGGUGCUGAUCUCCUGUACGUGUGUUUGCGCGUGGCACAGAGAGCGGCACUGUGCCCCCCUGCAGAUGUUCCCCAGCUCCCCCGUGCUUCCUGCCAGCUGCUGCGGACCCCUUCCAGCGUCUCAUUAACCAAGUGUUGAUGAAGGAUUUUAUGAGGGCCCCAUCUGUGGUUCUUCUCAAUAAAAGCAAGAACUCACCUGCUACCUCUGCAUUUUAAUAAGAAGAGUAAGUUAGUUGACCCUUGAAGCCCAAAAUUCAUAAGAAUUCAUUUAGUCUCUGUGUAUUUGUGUGUAAGUCGGCUCUACACGUUUCCACAGCCGAUAAAGUCCGCAGUCAGAACAACACUGCCGGCGUUGAGAAAUGAGAUCCGUGGUGCGCUCACACACACCAUCCCGUCCAAUCUCUCGCCAUGCAUCAAACGACACGACGGCCGCCAGACAGCACUCUAUUUCUGUCACUUGUAAUCUGACCACCAUUGUAAAGAUCAAAGCCAAGUGGCACAACAUUUUGUUUGUGUUUUUUCUCUGCUAAAAGUGUUUAUUGAUUGUGCAAACAAACAGUCGUCUCCAUUGGGUGAGAGACGGGAGACAUGAGA